rnacentral:tRNA from 1 species
AGCAGCGUGGCUCAGUGGAGAGGGCACGGGCUUGGGAGUCAGGGGUCCUGGGUUCGAAUCCCGGCUCUGCCC